rnacentral:rRNA from 1 species
AUUGAACGCUGGCGGCAGGCCUAACACAUGCAAGUCGAACGAGUGGCGGACGGGUGAGUAAUGCUGGGGAAUCUAGCUUAUGGAGGGGGAUAACUAGGGGAAACUGUAGAUAAUACCGCGUACCAUAGGAUGAGCCCAAGGGGGAUUAGGUAGUUGGUGAGGUAAAGGCUCAUCAAGCCGACGAUCCAUAGCUGGUCUGAGAGGAUGACCAGCCACACUGUGACGUAGACACGGCCCAGACUCCUACGGGAGGCAGCAGUGGGGAAUCUUGCGCAAUGGGCGCAAGCCUGAUACAGCCAUGCCGCGUGUAUGAAGAAGGCCUUAGGGUUGUAAAGUACUUUCAGCGGGGAUGCGUUACCCGCAGAGAAAGCACCGGCUAACUCCGUGCCAGCAGCCGCGGUAAUAC